UAGGGGGCGAGCGUUAAUCGGAAUUACUGGGCGUAAAGCGUGCGCAGGCGGUUUUGUAAGCCAGAUGUGAAAUCCCCGGGCUUAACCUGGGAAUGGCAUUUGGGACUGCAAGGCUCGAGUGCGGCAGAGGAGACUGGAAUUCCUGGUGUAGCAGUGAAAUGCGUAGAUAUCAGGAGGAACACCGAUGGCGAAGGCAGGUCUCUGGGCUGACACUGACGCUCAUGCACGAAAGCGUGGGGAGCAAACAGG
rnacentral:rRNA from 1 species